UACAGAGGUCUCAAGCGUUGUUCGGAUUCAUUGGGCGUAAAGGGUGUGUAGGUGGCGCCGUAAGUCGGGUGUGAAAUUUCGGAGCUUAACUCCGAAACUGCAUUCGAUACUGCGGUGCUUGAGGACUGGAGAGGAGACUGGAAUUUACGGUGUAGCAGUGAAAUGCGUAGAUAUCGUAAGGAAGACCAGUGGCGAAGGCGGGUCUCUGGACAGUUCCUGACACUGAGGCACGGAAGGCCCAGG
rnacentral:rRNA from 1 species